CGUUAACUUUGUUUAAAAUGGAAAUCCUUUUUAUUUUUUUCUUUAAAAAACAAAAAGACUGCAUUGGAAAGCAGCAAUUAGC
rnacentral:sRNA from 1 species